rnacentral:rRNA from 1 species
UACGUAGGGUGCAAGCGUUGUCCGGAAUUAUUGGGCGUAAAGAGCUCGUAGGCGGUCUGUCGCGUCUGCUGUGAAAAUCCAGGGCUCAACCCUGGACCUGCAGUGGGUACGGGCAGACUAGAGUGCGGUAGGGGAGAUCGGAAUUCCUGGUGUAGCGGUGAAAUGCGCAGAUAUCAGGAGGAACACCGGUGGCGAAGGCGGAUCUCUGGGCCGUAACUGGACGCUGAGAAGCGAAAGCAUGGGGAGCGAACAGG